AUGGGACUGCUGUGGAGAUGACAAACCGAGUGUACAAGCUUCCAUCAUUUUACAAUGUACUCGAAGGAGAAAUAUUUCUGCAAAACUUGCCCAGCAUUGUUACGGCUUGUGUUUUAGAUCCUCAAGAAGGUGAAAGAAUAUUGGACAUGUGUGCUGCUCCUGGAGGGAAAACAACUGCCAUUGCAAUUCUUAUGAGGAAUAAAGGUGAGGUUAUUGCAAUUGAUAGAUCUCAUAAUAAGG